AUGCUUAUUUCACAGCUUUGUCUGCUAUUAUACAGAAGCUUUGACUGUUCCACAGAGCAGAUCCAGGUAGUCCUCGACUUGUGAUCACAACUGAACCCAAAAUUCCUGUGCUAAACAAGAUACUUGUUUCGUGACUUUUUCCCCAUUUUAUAACCUUUCUUGCCACAGUUGUUAAGUGAAUCACUGCUGUUGUUAAGAAGGUAACAUGAUGAAGUGAAUCUGUAUUUCCCAUUAACUUUAUUUGUCAGGACACAAAAGGUUAUCACAUGAUUCCAGGACAUGUAACUAUCACUAAUAUGAACCAAUUGCCAGGAGUCCAAUUCCCCCCACCCCCAGACGCCAGGCACCUGAAUUUUGUUCACAUCACCAUGAGAACAGUAAUAAGUAUGAAAAAUGGUCAUAAGUCAGUUUUUUCAGUGCCCUUGUAACUUUGAACAGUCAUUAAAUGAGUGGUUGUAAAUCA